rnacentral:rRNA from 1 species
UAGUGAGUUCAUACACGGCCCGUACCCCAAACCGACACAGGUGAUCAGGUAGAGAAUACCAAGGCGAUCGAGAGAACUGUGGUUAAGGAACUCGGCAAAAUGCCCCCGUAACUUCGGGAGAAGGGGGACCAUGCCCGGUGAACAUCUUCACGGUGGGAGCUGGGUGUGGUCGCAGAGACCAGAGAGAAGCGACUGUUUACUAAAAACACAGGUCCGUGCGAAGACGUAAGUCGAUGUAUACGGACUGACGCCUGCCCGGUGCUGGAAGGUUAAGAGGACCGGUUAGCCGUAAGGCGAAGCUGAGAAUUUAAGCCCCAGUAAACGGCGGUGGUAACUAUAACCAUCCUAAGGUAGCGAAAUUCCUUGUCGGGUAAGUUCCGACCUGCACGAAUGGCGUAACGACUUCUCUGCUGUCUCGACCACAGACUCGGCGAAAUUGCACUACGAGUAAAGAUGCUCGUUACGCGCGGCAGGACGAAAAGACCCCGGGACCUUUACUAUAGCUUGGUAUUGGCGUUCGAUUCGGUUUGUGUAGGAUAGGUGGGAGACUGUGAAGCAUGCACGCCAGUGUGUGUGGAGUCGUUGUUGAAAUACCACUCUGAUCGUAUUGGACGUCUAACCUCGGCCCAUGAUCUGGGUUAGGGACAGUGCCUGGUGGGUAGUUUAACUGGGGCGGUUGCCUCCUAAAGAGUAACGGAGGCGCCCAAAGGUUCCCUCAGCCUGGAUGGCAAUCAGGUGUUGAGUGCAAGUGCACAAGGGAGCUUGACUGUGAGACUGACACGUCGAGCAGGGACGAAAGUCGGGACUAGUGAUCCGGCACCGGCAAGUGGAAGCGGUGUCGCUCAACGGAUAAAAGGUACCCCGGGGAUAACAGGCUGAUCUUCCCCAAGAGUCCAUAUCGACGGGAUGGUUUGGCACCUCGAUGUCGGCUCGUCGCAUCCUGGGGCUGGAGUAGGUCCCAAGGGUUGGGCUGUUCGCCCAUUAAAGCGGCACGCGAGCUGGGUUUAGAACGUCGUGAGACAGUUCGGUCUCUAUCCGCCGCGCGCGUAAGAAACUUGAGGAAGGCUGUCCCUAGUACGAGAGGACCGGGACGGAUGAACCUCUGGUGUGCCAGUUGUUCCACCAGGAGCAUGGCUGGUUAGCUACGUUCGGAAGGGAUAACCGCUGAAAGCAUCUAAGCGGGAAGCCUGUUCCAAGAUGAGGUUUCUCACCACCUUGCGUGGUUAAGGCCCCCUACAGACCAUGGGGUUGAUAGGCCGGAACUGGAAGCGCAGCAAUGCGUGGAGGUGACCGGUACUAAUAGGCCGAGGGCUUA